rnacentral:rRNA from 1 species
GUGCCAGCCGCCGCGGUAAUACGGAGGGGGCUAGCGUUGUUCGGAAUUACUGGGCGUAAAGCGCACGUAGGCGGAUCAGAAAGUUGGGGGUGAAAUCCCGGGGCUCAACCUCGGAACUGCCUUCAAAACUAUUGGUCUUGAGUUCGAGAGAGGUGAGUGGAAUUCCGAGUGUAGAGGUGAAAUUCGUAGAUAUUCGGAGGAACACCAGUGGCGAAGGCGGCUCACUGGCUCGAUACUGACGCUGAGGUGCGAAAGCGUGGGGAGCAAACAGG